GGGGGCGAACUGGAUUCGACCGGGCGAGUUGAGGCGUCGGUGGCGUGCCCAGGUUCCAAGGAGGCCUGGUAAAACACCUUGGGUAACUUUUUACUUGCCAACACUGAUUUGGCACUGGCUGCUUAAUCUUAAGUAGCCCGCCUGCGGCUUCUUGCCCGUGAGGGGCCGCAAGGCGACGAAAAGCGGGCUUGCUGGUCGGGAGUGGUGCGGUUACCCGGCCGGGACUUUGGUCGCACUGGCUGAGCCUGGACCGUGUCGCUGCGGGCCUUGCUCGGCGAGAUUAAACCAGCGACUAUGCACGUAGAGGCCGGCGCUGAAACGUCACGGGACGCGGGUUCGAUUCCCGCCGCCUCCACUC
rnacentral:tmRNA from 1 species